AUACAGAGGGUGCGAGCGUUAAUCGGAAUUACUGGGCGUAAAGCGCGCGUAGGCGGUCUAUUAAGUCAGAUGUGAAAUCCCAGGGCUCAACCUUGGAACUGCAUCUGAUACUGGUAGACUAGAGUUUUGGAGAGGGAAGUAGAAUUUCAGGUGUAGCGGUGAAAUGCGUAGAGAUCUGAAGGAAUACCAGUGGCGAAGGCGACUUCCUGGCCAAAACCUGUCGCUGAGGUGCGAAAGCGUGGGUAGCAAACGGGAUUAGAAACCCCGGUAGUCC
rnacentral:rRNA from 1 species